rnacentral:sRNA from 1 species
AACCUCCUGGGUUUUGCCAACACAUUUUUCCAUAGUUUGGUAAAGAAAGAAACCUCGAAACAUCUUUACAGUUCAAGUCGAUGAAAACAGAAGAUACAUGCAAAACCUGACAGUUGAACAACCUAUUGAAGUUAAAAAGCUUUUCGUUGGGGGUGCUCCGCCUGAAUUUCAACCUUCCCCACUCAGAAAUAUUCCUCCUUUUGAAGGCUGUGUAUGGAAUCUUGUUAUUAACUCUGUCCCCAUGGACUUUGCAAGGCCUGUAUCCUUCAAAAACGCUGACAUUGGUCGCUGUGCCCAUCAGAAACUCCGUGAAGAUGAAGAUGGAGCAGCUCCAGCUGAAAUAGUUAUCCAGCCUGAGCCAGUUCCCACCCCA